AAUCGGACCUUCGUCCGACUUUGACAGUUACUGGUUCAGUCUUGCUUUGAAUUUCGACCAGUGCACAUCGUAAUUCACGCAGUACGCAUUUUACGCAAGUAAUAAAGAAGAGUUUACGUAAGAACAUAAUUAUAUCACUCAUUCUUUCAAUAUUCUAUGCGAAUUAAUUUGUUUUAGAAGUACAUGGAGAAGUGGGAGUACUCUCCCACCCGUGACGACAACAAAAUCGGACCUUCGACCGACUUUGACAGUUACUGGUUCAGUCUUGCUUUGAAUUUCGACCAGUGCACAUCGUAAUUCACGCAGUACGCAUUUUACGCAAAAGUACAUGGAGAAGUGGGAGUACUCUCCCACCCGUGACGACAACAAAAUCGGACCUUCGACCGACUUUGACAGUUACUGGUUCAGUCUUGCUUUGAAUUUCGACCAGUGCACAUCGUAAUUCACGCAGUACGCAUUUUACGCAAAAGUACAUGGAGAAGUGGGAGUACUCUCCCACCCGUGACGACAACAAAAUCGGACCUUCGACCGACUUUGACAGUUACUGGUUCAGUCUUGCUUUGAAUUUCGACCAGUGCACAUCGUAAUUCACGCAGUACGCAUUUUACGCAAAAGUACAUGGAGAAGUGGGAGUACUCUCCCACCCAUGACGACAACAAAAUCGGACCUUCGACCGACUUUGACAGUUACUGGUUCAGUCUAGGUUUGAAUUUCGACGAGUACACAUCGCAGUCCUCGCAGUACGCGUUCUCCGCAAGUAAUAGAGAAGACUUAAUAAUUAAAUGGUGUAGUGGGGAUAGUCUCCCACCCGUGACGACAACAAAAUCGGAUCUUUGACGACUUUGACAGUUACUGGUUCAGUCUUGCUUUGAAUUUCGAAGAGUACACAUCGCAGUCCUCGCAGUACGCGUUCUCCGCAAGUAAUAGAGAAGACUUAAUAAUUAAAUGGUGUAGUGGGGAUAGUCUCCCACCCGUGACGACAACAAAAUCGGAUCUUUGACGACUUUGACAGUUACUGGUUCAGUCUAGGUUUGAAUUUCGACGAGUACACAUCGCAGUCCUCGCAGUACGCGUUCUCCGCAAGUAAUAGAGAAGACUUAAUAAUUAAAUGGUGUAGUGGGGAUAGUCUCCCACCCGUGACGACAACAAAAUCGGAUCUUUGACGACUUUGACAGUUACUGGUUCAGUCUAGGUUUGAAUUUCGACGAGUACACAUCGCAGUCCUCGCAGUACGCGUUCUCCGCAAGUAAUAGAGAAGACUUAAUAAUUAAAUGGUGCAGUGGGGAUACUCUCCCACCCGUGACGACAACAAAAUCGGACCUUCGACCGACUUUGACAGUUACUGGUUCAGUCUUGCUUUGAAUUUCGACAAGUACACAUCGCAGUUCUCGCAGUACGCGUUUUCCGCAAGUAAUAGAGAAGACUUAAUAAUUAAAUGGUGUAGUGAGGGUACUCUCGCACCCGUGACAACAACAAAAUCGGAUCUUUGACCGCCUUUGACAGUUACUAGUUCAGUAUUGCUUUGUAUUUCGACGGGUGCACAUUCGCGGGACUUUGACGAUCUAUCUCCACGAAUGGACUUAGAAAUUUUCACACCUUCGUAUGGUUUUUGACUAUCUCUACGAGAGGACUUAGAAAUUUUCUCAGGAAGCCAUGCGAGGGAGUAUUAACGAAGAGUCGACGCAAGUAUAUUUUCUACUAUUCAUAUUUUCAUAAUUCUAUACUAUUUCUUUUGUUUCAGACUCAGAUUCUGCUCUCUCGAGGGACUUUGGCGAUUUAUCACCAAGAGUGGACUUAGAAAUUUUGGGACCUCUCAGGGUCUUUGACAGUCUAUCUCCACGAGUGGACUUAGAAAUUUUCACAC